UUUCUUUUCUGUGGAGUGUUUCCUAUGAACCUAGAUCUUUGGCUAUAGACAACAGGAAUGCUGUAUGUACAGAAGCAAGCCGGAAAAAAAUGAAAUAGGAAAUUGCAUUUCCUUCACCACAAGAUUUAAGAAGUUGUGAGGAAAAGUCCAAAUGGAGGG